CAUUUAAAGAGUGCGUAAUAGCUCACUAGUCGAGUGACACUGCGCCGAAAAUGUACCGGGGCUAAACAUAUUACCGAAGCUGUGGAUUGUCCUUUGGACAAUGGUAGGAGAGCGUUCUAAGGGCGUCGAAGCAUGAUCGCAAGGACAUGUGGAGCGCUUAGAAGUGAGAAUGCCGGUGUGAGUAGCGAAAGACGGGUGAGAAUCCCGUCCACCGAUUGACUAAGGUUUCCAGAGGAAGGCUCG
rnacentral:rRNA from 1 species